rnacentral:tRNA from 1 species
UGGCCCGUAGUGUAACGGUAGCACACGAGUUUUUGGUACUUAGAGUCAUGGUUCGAAUCCAUGCGGGCCAA